rnacentral:rRNA from 1 species
UUAAGCGACUAAGCGUACACGGUGGAUGCCCUGGCAGUCAGAGGCGAUGAAGGACGUGCUAAUCUGCGAUAAGCGUCGGUAAGGUGAUAUGAACCGUUAUAACCGGCGAUUUCCGAAUGGGGAAACCCAGUGUGUUUCGACACACUAUCAUUAACUGAAUCCAUAGGUUAAUGAGGCGAACCGGGGGAACUGAAACAUCUAAGUACCCCGAGGAAAAGAAAUCAACCGAGAUUCCCCCAGUAGCGGCGAGCGAACGGGGAGCAGCCCAGAGCCUGAAUCAGUGUGUGUGUUAGUGGAAGCGUCUGGAAAGGCGCGCGAUACAGGGUGACAGCCCCGUACACAAAAAUGCACAUGCUGUGAGCUCGAUGAGUAGGGCGGGACACGUGGUAUCCUGUCUGAAUAUGGGGGGACCAUCCUCCAAGGCUAAAUACUCCUGACUGACCGAUAGUGAACCAGUACCGUGAGGGAAAGGCGAAAAGAACCCCGGCGAGGGGAGUGAAAAAGAACCUGAAACCGUGUACGUACAAGCAGUGGGAGCACGCUUAGGCGUGUGACUGCGUACCUUUUGUAUAAUGGGUCAGCGACUUAUAUUCUGUAGCAAGGUUAACCGAAUAGGGGAGCCGAAGGGAAACCGAGUCUUAACUGGGCGUUAAGUUGCAGGGUAUAGACCCGAAACCCGGUGAUCUAGCCAUGGGCAGGUUGAAGGUUGGGUAACACUAACUGGAGGACCGAACCGACUAAUGUUGAAAAAUUAGCGGAUGACUUGUGGCUGGGGGUGAAAGGCCAAUCAAACCGGGAGAUAGCUGGUUCUCCCCGAAAGCUAUUUAGGUAGCGCCUCGUGAAUUCAUCUCCGGGGGUAGAGCACUGUUUCGGCAAGGGGGUCAUCCCGACUUACCAACCCGAUGCAAACUGCGAAUACCGGAGAAUGUUAUCACGGGAGACACACGGCGGGUGCUAACGUCCGUCGUGAAGAGGGAAACAACCCAGACCGCCAGCUAAGGUCCCAAAGUCAUGGUUAAGUGGGAAACGAUGUGGGAAGGCCCAGACAGCCAGGAUGUUGGCUUAGAAGCAGCCAUCAUUUAAAGAAAGCGUAAUAGCUCACUGGUCGAGUCGGCCUGCGCGGAAGAUGUAACGGGGCUAAACCAUGCACCGAAGCUGCGGCAGCGACACUGUGUGUUGUUGGGUAGGGGAGCGUUCUGUAAGCCUGUGAAGGUGUGCUGUGAGGCAUGCUGGAGGUAUCAGAAGUGCGAAUGCUGACAUAAGUAACGAUAAAGCGGGUGAAAAGCCCGCUCGCCGGAAGACCAAGGGUUCCUGUCCAACGUUAAUCGGGGCAGGGUGAGUCGACCCCUAAGGCGAGGCCGAAAGGCGUAGUCGAUGGGAAACAGGUUAAUAUUCCUGUACUUGGUGUUACUGCGAAGGGGGACGGAGAAGGCUAUGUUGGCCGGGCGACGGUUGUCCCGGUUUAAGCGUGUAGGCUGGUUUUCCAGGCAAAUCCGGAAAAUCAAGGCUGAGGCGUGAUGACGAGGCACUACGGUGCUGAAGCAACAAAUGCCCUGCUUCCAGGAAAAUCCUCUAAGCAUCAGGUAACAUCAAAUCGUACCCCAAACCGACACAGGUGGUCAGGUAGAGAAUACCAAGGCGCUUGAGAGAACUCGGGUGAAGGAACUAGGCAAAAUGGUGCCGUAACUUCGGGAGAAGGCACGCUGAUAUGUAGGUGAAGCGACUUGCUCGUGGAGCUGAAAUCAGUCGAAGAUACCAGCUGGCUGCAACUGUUUAUUAAAAACACAGCACUGUGCAAACACGAAAGUGGACGUAUACGGUGUGACGCCUGCCCGGUGCCGGAAGGUUAAUUGAUGGGGUCAGCGCAAGCGAAGCUCUUGAUCGAAGCCCCGGUAAACGGCGGCCGUAACUAUAACGGUCCUAAGGUAGCGAAAUUCCUUGUCGGGUAAGUUCCGACCUGCACGAAUGGCGUAAUGAUGGCCAGGCUGUCUCCACCCGAGACUCAGUGAAAUUGAACUCGCUGUGAAGAUGCAGUGUACCCGCGGCAAGACGGAAAGACCCCGUGAACCUUUACUAUAGCUUGACACUGAACAUUGAGCCUUGAUGUGUAGGAUAGGUGGGAGGCUUAGAAGUGUGGACGCCAGUCUGCAUGGAGCCGACCUUGAAAUACCACCCUUUAAUGUUUGAUGUUCUAACGUUGACCCGUAAUCCGGGUUGCGGACAGUGUCUGGUGGGUAGUUUGACUGGGGCGGUCUCCUCCUAAAGAGUAACGGAGGAGCACGAAGGUUGGCUAAUCCUGGUCGGACAUCAGGAGGUUAGUGCAAUGGCAUAAGCCAGCUUGACUGCGAGCGUGACGGCGCGAGCAGGUGCGAAAGCAGGUCAUAGUGAUCCGGUGGUUCUGAAUGGAAGGGCCAUCGCUCAACGGAUAAAAGGUACUCCGGGGAUAACAGGCUGAUACCGCCCAAGAGUUCAUAUCGACGGCGGUGUUUGGCACCUCGAUGUCGGCUCAUCACAUCCUGGGGCUGAAGUAGGUCCCAAGGGUAUGGCUGUUCGCCAUUUAAAGUGGUACGCGAGCUGGGUUUAGAACGUCGUGAGACAGUUCGGUCCCUAUCUGCCGUGGGCGCUGGAGAACUGAGGGGGGCUGCUCCUAGUACGAGAGGACCGGAGUGGACGCAUCACUGGUGUUCGGGUUGUCAUGCCAAUGGCACUGCCCGGUAGCUAAAUGCGGAAGAGAUAAGUGCUGAAAGCAUCUAAGCACGAAACUUGCCCCGAGAUGAGUUCUCCCUGACCCUUUAAGGGUCCUGAAGGAACGUUGAAGACGACGACGUUGAUAGGCCGGGUGUGUAAGCGCAGCGAUGCGUUGAGCUAACCGGUACUAAUGAACCGUGAGGCUUAACCUU